UGGGAAUAAUGCCAGCACUGCUUUCUGGCACGGCUGGGGGAAGUUCAUACUCGACUUCCAGCACUACCCUUUCACCCACGUUCUUCAGCAGGCUUAUGAUCUCGUCGUGCCGCAGCUUGGUCAGGUUGAUGCCGUUCACUGACUUGAUGUAAUCCCCAACGUUCAGCUGGUCACUUCUUGCUGCCAGUCCUCCUGGCCUCAGGUUGGACACCCUCGGCUUCCCAUCUUUGUCCGUGCCACCCGAGAUAGUCAACCCAAGGGUACUGCCUUCCUUCUUGAUCAGCUCCACAAUGGUGACCCCUCUGAACUCCUCUGGGAUGCUUUGCCUCCUGGAGACCAGGGCUGAGUCCAUCCCGCCGGAGUCCUUG
rnacentral:lncRNA from 1 species